AAAGAUGAAGAAAGCCAAGAAAAGGGACCAGAAGAGAAAGCAGAAAGACAGGAGGAAGAAAGGGAGAGAGGGCCAGGCAGCCGCACUGUGAACAGAACAGGAGAAGGCGAAGCGGGGCAAAGUUCCCUGCCCACCGACGCCAGCCUGCUUGGAUGACUUGCCUCGUUUCAUAAUUCACUUACUGUCUGCACCAGCCGGCCUCCAGCCUGGCUGGACCCUGCUGCCUGUGUGGCCCGGAGCCAGAGGCCCCCACACUCCCAGCUGCUCUUCUACAGAUGCCAUCAACGAGCAGGACUCUGGGUGGCUCCACUGUCUAAGCCUGGAGAGUCACCGCCGAGGGAUGAGGACGCGCCAGCCCGGUGGGACGCGCCAGCUGCUUUCGCGGCCCCAAGCGCGCAGCGCCCAGCAGCCGCGCCGAGCCUGACACGCUGUCCUCUCCCCUCGCGCACAGGGCUCUGCGAGUGACCCGGCAGGCGAGCUCCGUGCUGCAUGGAACGGCUGCAGAAGCAACCACUUACCUCCCCCGGGAGCGUGAGCCCCUCCCGAGAUUCCAGUGUGCCUGGCUCUCCCUCCAGCAUCGUGGCCAAGAUGGACAAUCAGGUGCUGGGCUACAAGGACCUGGCUGCCAUCCCCAAGGACAAGGCCAUCCUGGACAUCGAGCGGCCCGACCUCAUGAUCUACGAGCCUCACUUCACUUAUUCCCUCCUGGAACACGUGGAGCUGCCUCGCAGCCGCGAGCGCUCGCUGUCACCCAAAUCCACAUCCCCCCCACCAUCCCCAGAGGUGUGGGCGGACAGCCGGUCGCCUGGAAUCAUCUCUCAGGCCUCGGCCCCCAGAACCACUGGAACCCCCCGGACCAGCCUGCCCCAUUUCCACCACCCUGAGACCUCCCGCCCAGAUUCCAACAUCUACAAGAAGCCUCCCAUCUAUAAGCAGAGAGAGUCCGUGGGAGGCAGCCCUCAGACCAAGCACCUCAUCGAGGAUCUCAUCAUCGAGUCAUCCAAGUUUCCUGCAGCCCAGCCCCCAGACCCCAACCAGCCAGCCAAAAUCGAAACCGACUACUGGCCAUGCCCCCCGUCUCUGGCUGUUGUGGAGACAGAAUGGAGGAAGCGGAAGGCGUCUCGGAGGGGAGCAGAGGAAGAGGAGGAGGAGGAAGAUGACGACUCUGGAGAGGAGAUGAAGGCUCUCAGGGAGCGUCAGAGAGAGGAACUCAGUAAGGUUACUUCCAACUUGGGAAAGAUGAUCUUGAAAGAAGAGAUGGAAAAGUCAUUGCCGAUCCGAAGGAAAACCCGCUCUCUGCCUGACCGGACACCCUUCCAUACCUCCUUGCACCAGGGAACGUCUAAAUCUUCCUCUCUCCCCGCCUAUGGCAGGACCACCCUGAGCCGGCUACAGUCCACAGAGUUCAGCCCAUCAGGGAGUGAGACUGGAAGCCCAGGCCUGCAGGUGAGUGCCUCCUGGAGGGGAACAGGCAGAGCAGCAGAAGCUGGGUCCUGGCACCCGAAAGUGUCAGGGGAAGGGGGGUGUGGGGCCACAGAGUUGCCUGGUGAAGAAGAAGAAGCCGGGGUAAGGCUGGGAAGGUCUCCCUGCCCCGCUCUGGCUCACUGCGGCUUUGGUCUCCCCAGAACGGAGAGGGCCAGAGGGGGAGGAUGGACCGGGGGAACUCCCUGCCCUGUGUGCUGGAGCAGAAGAUCUAUCCCUAUGAAAUGCUAGUGGUGACCAACAAGGGGCGAACCAAGCUGCCACCGGGGGUGGAUCGGAUGCGGCUUGAGAGGCAUCUGUCUGCCGAGGACUUCUCAAGGGUAUUUGCCAUGUCCCCUGAAGAGUUUGGCAAGCUGGCUCUGUGGAAGCGGAAUGAGCUCAAGAAGAAGGCCUCUCUCUUCUGAUGGCCCUCACCUGCUCCAGGACGGCCCCCUUACCCCUGCUGCUUCAGGGUUUUUCCCCGGGGGGUUGGGAGGGGCAGGAGGUGGGGUGGAAAUAGGGUGGGCUCCUUUCCUCAGGUAGAGUGGGGGGCCAAAACCUCUGCAGUCCCCAGCAGUGAGCUACGGACUUUCUUCCCCCUCACAAGGCUGGGGGCCUCCUGCUCUCGUCCCUGGCCCUCCCUGCACAGGGCAAAGCCAGUCUGGGCUCUGGCACACAGAGUUCAUGUUUGCGCCCUCUCCCUGCCCCUCACCCCAGAGGGUGAGGAGGAAUGAGGGGCAUUGGUGGUUAGGCCGGUUGGCUGUCUUGAACAGCUGGAGGGAAGAUGCAGGGGUGGGAAGCGGCCAGGCAGAAAGAGCUCCAGGCUCUUGUGUCACCCACCCAGCCCUCCCAUACUCACUCCUGACAGCUUUCCUGCACUGCAGCCUCCUGCUCCUCUGACUCUAGUGGGAACAGGCCCCAGCUCAGCCUCCGGCAGGGAGGUCACCCCUCCACUUCAGCUUGCCCUGACCUCCGCUCGCAAACCCCGAGCUUCCAAGCCUUUUGCUCUAGCCCUGUGGCUUCCCCAGAAGCCUGGGCUUAGGGUGGAGAUGCCGCCUACACACGAUCCUGGCCCUCCACCUGCCUCCAGGCCACGAAAUGGGAAUUCCAGCACUAAGCCAGGCACCGGGCAGAAGCUGGGCCUUCCACCUCCCUUGGAUGGGGUCAAGAGGCCAGGCCUGGCACAUUUUGGAGUGUCCUGGCUACCAGCUCUCACCUACACCCACGCACCCCCCCACACACUAUGCUCUCUCAAGAAUGUAAUUUAUUGGGGCCCCCCCAGCUGCUUUCCUCACCUGCCCCUGCCCUACCUUACACCCCCAGCUUGACUUCUUUCCAGUCCACGUGUGUAUAUAAUGAUAUCUAUAUUUUUGCCCAGGUCUGGGUAUUGCUCCUGCCCAGACCCUGACAUCCCUUUCCACUGUGUGUGUGACCAUGCUGGGGGAGGGGGACUCUGCUUGGAAUUAAAAGGUUGCAUUGGGUCCCUA